rnacentral:lncRNA from 1 species
UAAUGCCGCCGUAAGCCUCCGGCCGCAAAUCGCCUCCGCCAGCGGCGAUGCUCCAAACCACCCCAAAUUUACACCCCAUGACCCUCUUCUCGGCCCCUUUCCAAAUCCUUAGCUAAUUUCCUUCAAAUCCCUACCAGUUCCUUUGAAUUUUGAAGCAAAUGAUUUCUACCAAAAUCCAAAGUUACCCAAUCUUGUCCAAAUUCAC